GGCCACACCAAUUUGAUUCCUUGUUCGAUGGACCCGCCCGCACCUAUUUUUUCAAAACAGAAUUUUUUUAUUUUUUUUAUAUUCCCACUUCCCGCAUCCGGCAAUGUAAUCAUGUCCAUUUCCCGGGUAUCAGGUCCGUUCGCGCCCAAUACAUUUUCGCACCCUACACGUUCGCACCUCGCAUGUUCGCACCCAAGGUCCGUUCGCCCUCUACACGUUGCCCCCAAUUUUAAUUCAAAUUCCAGAUUAAUUGGAAAAUCAUGAUUGUUGUUUUAAAUUGCUUUGGUGUACUGAAUGUAUUUAGCUUGGUAUGAGUAAAACAUUGAAGAUUUUAAAUAAAAAACACAAAAGAUAAUUGUUUUUAUUUAUUCAACACAAAAAAAAAAUGCUGUCUCACUUUAUUUUGAAACAAUGACAACAAAUAUACUUAUAAGAAUACACUUGCCAAAACUUGAUUACAAAGUUAUUAAACACAAAACCAAUUAAAAUUG
rnacentral:lncRNA from 1 species